rnacentral:rRNA from 1 species
UACGGGGGGGGCAAGCGUUGUUCGGAAUUACUGGGCGUAAAGGGCUCGUAGGCGGCCAACUAAGUCAGACGUGAAAUCCCUCGGCUUAACCGGGGAACUGCGUCUGAUACUGGAUGGCUAGAGUUUGGGAGAGGGAUGCGGAAUUCCAGGUGUAGCGGUGAAAUGCGUAGAUAUCGGGAGGAACACCUGUGGCGAAGGCGGCUUUCUGGGCCUUACCUGACGCUGAGACGCGAAAGCGUGGGGAGCGAACCGG